rnacentral:rRNA from 1 species
AACGAACGCUGGCGGCAGGCUUAACACAUGCAAGUCGAGCGCCCCGCAAGGGGAGCGGCAGACGGGUGAGUAACGCGUGGGAAUCUACCCAUCUCUACGGAAUAACGCAUGGAAACGUGUGCUAAUACCGCAUACGUCCUUCGGGAGAAAGAUUUAUCGGAGAUGGAUGAGCCCGCGUUGGAUUAGCUAGUUGGUGGGGUAAAUGCCUACCAAGGCGACGAUCCAUAGCUGGUCUGAGAGGAUGAUCAGCCACACUGGGACUGAGACACGGCCCAGACUCCUACGGGAGGCAGCAGUGGGGAAUAUUGGACAAUGGGCGCAAGCCUGAUCCAGCCAUGCCGCGUGAGUGAUGAAGGCCCUAGGGUUGUAAAGCUCUUUCACCGGUGAAGAUAAUGACGGUAACCGGAGAAGAAGCCCCGGCUAACUUCGUGCCAGCAGCCGCAGUAACAC